UAGGAUAGCUCAGCGGGCAGAGCAUGAGGCUCUUAAUCUCAGGGUUGUGGGUUUGAGUCCCACAUGGGGCAAAA